rnacentral:snoRNA from 1 species
AUGAUGAAUGCGUUGGUGGAUGAUAGAUGAGUGACGACGGACGGACUGA